UGUUGAAAAUACAGUGAGUACCACACACUGUACAACACCCAAUGGUAGUGUCGUUGAAAAUACAGUGAGUACCACACAGUGUACAACACCCAAUGGUAGUGUCGUUGAAAAUACAGUGAGUACCACACACUGUACAACACCCAAUGGUAGUGUCGUUGAAAAUACAGUGAGUACCACACACUGUACAACACCCAAUGGUAGUGUCGUUGAAAAUACAGUGAGUACCAUACAGUGUACAACACAUUAUAUUGAUGGGUUAAGUUAAGACAUCGUCACGAUCAGAUGACAUUGUCAUGAUCAAGAUACAAAUCACAAGUCAAAGUGUAUAUCAUCCUAUCAAACAGUAUUCACCCAGACCAGGACAUUGUUGCUGGUAUGUUAUUGACAUUAUUAUAGGGAUGGGGAUACAGAAACUGUCUUACAUUCACAUGUUUUAAAUAGAGCUACUGUUCUGUCAUUAGUUUAGUAAGCUUAGGUACAGGCCCGAAAGUGUGUUACUCUAUGUGGUUCAAUAAAAGAGGAAAGCAAAUAACUAACUGUCACUCUCUCUAUGCUUCUGGUUUCCUGCCAACGGGGAGGAUUCUUCUCCAGUCAAUGGGGUUUGAAGCUUAACCCUGAGACCACUCUAAAAGCUCUUGCUCUUUCUCAACAGUUAUAAAAACCUUGCCAGUGCAAUUCUUGGUGAGACACUUGUGUUAAAUCUGACCCAUAUGAGAACACACUACUACUCCUGCCUUGAAGAACACACUACUACUCCUGCCUUGAAGAACACAAUACUACUUCUGCCUUGAAGAACACACUACUACUCCUGCCUUGAAGAACACAAUACUACUUCUGCCUUGAAGAACACACUACUACUCCUGCCUUGAAGAACACACUACUACUCCUGCCUUGAAGAACACACUACUACUCCUGCCUUGAAGAACACAAUACUACUCCUGCCUUGAAGAACACACUACUACUCCUGCCUUGAAGAACACACUACUACUCCUGCCUUGAAGAACACACUACUACUCCUGCCUUGAAGAACACACUACUACUCCUGCCUUGAAGAACACAAUACUACUCCUGCCUUGAAGAACACACUACUACUCCUGCCUUGAAGAACACACUACUACUCCUGCCUUGAAGAACACACUACUACU
ensembl:lncRNA